rnacentral:rRNA from 1 species
GACGAAGGGGCUAGCGUUGUUCGGAAUUACUAGGGCGUAAAGCGUGCGUAGACGGUUAUUUAAGAUCGGGUGUGAAAAGCCCCGGGCUCAACCUGGGAAUUGCAUUCGAGACUGAAUAGCUAGGGUACGGUAGAGGCAGGCGGAAUUCCGGGUGUAGCGGUGGAAUGCGUAGAGAUCCGGAAGAACACCGGUGGCGAAGGCGGCCUGCUGGGCAGUGGCUGACACUGAGGCGCGGACAGCGUGGGGAGCAACAGG